rnacentral:rRNA from 1 species
AUACGGAUGGUGCAAGCGUUAUUCGGAAUCACUGGGCAUAAAGAGCACGUAGGCGGCAGCAUAAGUCAGUGGUGAAGUCCCUCAGCUCAACUGGGGAACUGCCAUUGAUACUGUGCGGCUAGAAUGCGGGAGGGGCAGACGGAAUUCCAGGUGGAGCGGUGAAAUGCGUAGAUAUCUGGAGGAACGCCAGAGGCGAAAGCGGUCUGCUGGCCCGAAAUUGACGCUGAGGUGCGAAAGCUAGGGGAGCAAACGGGAUUAGAAACCCUAGUAGUCC